AGGUGGGUUAGCCAGGGCUGGGCUCAUCUGGGACACCUGGGACUCUCUCACCUGGGUCUUUCAUCCUGGGCUUCUUCCUCUCAUGGUGGCCACAGGUGUUCCGAGGGGAUGAGGUUGGACACUACAAGGCCUGUGAAGGUGUAGGCUCUGAGGCUGCAUAACUUCACUUCCACUGCAUUCUCUUGGUCAAAGCAGCAGACAAGGCUGCUCGGACACAAAGAGUGGAGAGACGCCUUCGUUGCUCUUUUCCCAUCUGUGUCCAGUUCAUUCCUACCAAGACAGCCACUCUCUAGGAGAGCCCCGACCAGGAAAGAAGUUAGUUUCAGGUGCAUCCGACAGGGGAGACACAGAGGAGGCCUCUCAACAAAACAGCAGGAUGCAGUUGGAGAAACUGGUUGUUUUUACCAAGGCUUGGACUGGAAAGGGCAUGCUUCCCUUAAAAAAAUCAAGCUUGACUUGCAGAGCCAAUAGAAGCCUGUUGGGAAAACCGGCCUCAUACCUUGUCUACCUAGUCCCUCUACAGGGUUCCUAACCUGUGACUAACUCUGCUUAUUCCUGUGAACCAACCAGUGAUCUCCGGCUGCAGCUCAGAAGAAACAGAAGGGAUGGGUAAUGUAAAAAUCUGGAUCAGCAUUCUAGUUCUGGGCAAUUAUCCUGCAAAUCCUGUCAGGUGAUAGGUGUAAAUAGGGUGCGGUACAAGAGCUCAGGAAUGGCCCAACGCGGGCACAAGCUAUAACACAGGUGAGCUGGGGCAUGCUAGCGUGGCCAAGUGGGGCCUGGGAGGGGUAUUGCUGGCCGGAGGUCCCUGGCUUGCAAAGUGACCGAGAAGAAAAAAUCCUACAUCACUGCCAAUAAGCGUUCCCUUUUCUCCGAAGCCUUGCCAGCAUCUGUUAUUUUUUGCCUUUUUAAUAUAGCCAUUCUGGACCUGUCUCUCUAAUUUUCACAAGUGCACUGCAUGGGCUAGCGGCUGCUCCAGAAGAAGCGUUUACUAUGCACCUGAUAACCUCAUGCAACAGAAAAGGCAGGGGGGCUCAGUUCACCCACCUGGACAACACUGAGUUAUUUAUUGUGGAGGUUUACUCAACAUUAAAUACUAUAGUGGCUGCUACCAUGCUUCCCAAACUUGAAUGUGGACCAAUCACUCAGAGGUCUUGUUAAAAAUGCAGAUUCUGACACAGGAGGUGUAGGCCCUGAGAUUCCGCAGUUCUAGCAAGCUCUCAGGUGACUCCAAUUCAGCUGAUCCACUGACCACACUUUGGAUAGCAAGGCCAAGUGGAUGUCUAGACUGAUGAAAGUCACAGGUGAACUGGCUGCGAAGGGCCUCUUCCUCUCCGCUGAUCACUGAAAUCUCCUCUCCAUCUUUCUUCCCUUACAAACCUCAACCAGAACCCUCCCUGCCCCGCAAAAGGACCUCACCAAACCAAGUCCCCAAUGUCCUUAUCAAGAAAGGGGUAAAGAAAGUGAUGCAGCAUCCUGUUUGUAGAUCCUGAAUUCUCCUUUUAACCGGCUUUAUCUCCUCCCCAGGAAAAAGAGGCUCUUAGCCCUGGGCUUUCCCUGGGGGUUGGGGCAGAAUUAUUAUUUCCUAACCAGUCAGUGCUGUGCCAUGACAUGGGUUUUAUUUCCGAGCUCUCUCCAGGUUUUCCUAGCCAUUCUAUGAGACAGCUGUUAGCUCUGUAUUACAGAUGGGGAAAACUGAGGCCUGAAGAAAUUUCAUAUCUUUUCCAAGAACAUAGACCCAGAAAGUAAACCUGUAAGGAAUUCAAUCUAGGAUUGAUUCCAAAUUCUGUACCGGAGCUGAUCUGUUUUCUAAAUUUCAAGGAACUUAAUUUUUUUCUGCCAAUAAAGAGGUUUUCCAAUUGGCAAGCUUUUAAAUCAGAUUCUGCAGUACCUGAUGUAGAAGUGACAUUGAAGGCAUGGGGGUAUUACAGUAGACAUUGCUUUAUUUGUUUAAACAGAAUUCUAUUACUGAAGAGCCAUAUGAAUGGCUCUUGGAAUUUCUACUAAUGUGACAUUUUCUCUGCUUCCUCAUGACAGUUGACUUUGAUGACUGGUUACUUAUUUUAUUUUAUUUUUUUUGAGAUGGAGGCUUGCUCUAUCAUCCAGGCUGGAGUGUAGUGGCAUGAUCUCAGUUCACUGCAACCUCCGCCUCCCGGGUUCAAGUGAUUCUCCUGCCUCAGCCUCCCAAGUAACUGGGAAUUACAGGCACCUGCCACCACACCAGCUAAUUUUUGUAUUUUCAGUAGAGACGGGGUUUCACCAUGUUGGCCAGGCUGGUCUCAAACUCCUGACCUCAGAUGAUCUGCCCGCCUCGGCCUCCCAAAGUGCUGGGAUUACAGAUGUGAGCUACCAUGCCCGGGCUGGUUACUUAUUUUUAAAGCAUUUCUGAUCAUCUACUAAAACCUCAGUGUCGAAGCUUUUCCAGGAUUUCAAAUGUUGUAUUUCAGAAUACAGCAAGGCUCAUCUCUCCUGAGCCAUUAGGACGAGGUGGUACUUUCACCAGGUCCCUCUAAGCACCCAGUCAUCAGGGGCAGGCCCCCAUGGAGAGAACAGGCUUGUUUCAGGGAGGAAUUCCCAGAAGCUGGAGCUCCAGACAGAGGUGAGGGACAGUGGUCAGCGCAAGGCACACUGGACAGAGCUGACUUCAGUCCUAUCUGGUGGGUUCAUAACUCAUGAAUCAUGGGAAACUGAGGGGAAAGCCCAGGGGAAAACUGAAAUAAUUUUCAAAAUGGUUCAAGACCACUUUCUAAUUGAGGGUAGCAAAAGAUGCAGCUUCUACUGUUGGGAAGGUUUGGCAGGGAGCUGUGGAAAGAGGUGACAGAAACUAAGUCUCUUGUUUCUCUGCAGGAGUUUCUCCAAGAAGCUUCUUCCUAGAAGCUCGUCAUCCCUACUCACUUUGGGGUGAAAAUAGCUUUGCAAAACCUGCUCAGAUGAGUCAGCAGGCCAGACCUCCAGAGCGGUGGAUGUAGUCCACACGAAAUUGCCUUUAGUGAACCGAGCAUUGAUGUUAUACCAUUUGAUUGCAUUGAUUUGGUUUAUAAGAACCAGCACAUCCCUAGCUGACUCUACAGUAGUUUUUAUUGUAGAGAUAUAUUGAAGGACAUAGUCUACUUUCGAUAACACAUAAUUCUUUUAUAAGGGGCCAGAGUAAGUCAGUCAAUAAAUAUGUAUUGAGCACUUAUAUGCCAGACACUGUGCUAUUCCCUUUAUUGAGAAUAAAGCAGUGAAUAAAGAAA